rnacentral:lncRNA from 10 species
AGAGUGCACAUCCUUACCACAGUACAAGGCUAAUGAGCUUGGAUCGAUGGUGUUCUCAGCCCAGUGGACUGAAAACAAUAGAUUGAAGAUUUGUGGCAACCCUGUGACUACCAACUCUAUUGAAACCAUUUCUCCAAUAGCAUGAGCUCACUUCAGGUCUUUGUAUCACAUUUUCAUAAUUCUCACAAUAUUUCAAAUUUAUUAUUAUUAUUAUACCUGUUAUGGUGAUCUGUGAUCAGUGAUUUUUGAUAUCACUCUUGUAAUUGUUUUGAGGCAUCACCCACACUCAAUAAGAUGGCAAGCUUAAUAUAUGCUUAUGUUCUGACCUUUCUACCAACAGGUCAUUGCCCCCAUCUCUCUCCCUCUCUUUGGGCCUCCCUUUUCCCUGAGACACAAUAAUAUUGAAAUUAGGCUAAUUAAUAACCCUACAAUGGCCUCUAAGUGUUCAAGUGAAGAGUGACAGAUCUUGCAUUUAAUAUCAAAAAGUUCGAAAUGAUUAAGCUUAGUGAGGAAGGCAUGUGGAAAGCCAAGAUAGGCUGAAAGCUCAGUCUUUUGUGCUGAACACAUAGCCAAUUUGUGAAUGCAAAAGAAAAGUUCUUGAAGGAAAUUAAAAGUGCUACUCCAGCGAACACAUGAAUGAUAAGAAAGCCAAACAGCCUUAUUUCUGAUAUGGAGAAAGUUUGAAUGGCCUGGAAAGAUCAAGCCAGCCACAAUAUUCCCUUAAGCCAAACUGUAAUCCAGAAAAAGGCUUUAACUCUCUUCAGUUGUCUGAAGGCUGAGAGAGGUAAGGGAGCUACAGAAGAGAAGUUUUAAGUUGGCGGAGGUUAGCUCAUUAAAUUUAAGGAAACAAGUUGUCUCCAUACUAUGAAAGUGCAAAAUGAAGUAGCAAGGGCUGAUGGAGAAGCUGCAGCAAGUUCAGAACAGAAGAUCUAGCUAAGAUAAUUCAUGAAGAUGGCUGCAUUGAACAAUAGAUUUUCAUUGUAAACAAAACAGCUUUUGAUUGGAAGAAGAUGACAUCUAGGACUUUAAUAGCUAGAGAGGAGAAGUCAAUGCCUGGUUUCCAAGCUUCAAAGGACAGGCUGAUUCUCUUUUUAGGGUCUAAUGCAGCUUCUGACUUGAGGUUAAAACCACUGGUAAUUGACCAUUCUGAAAGUCCUAGGUCCCUUAAGAAUUAUGCUAAAUCUACUCUGCCCAUGCUCUAAAUAUUGAAUAACUCAGCCUGCAUGACAGCACAUCUGUGUACAACAGGGCUUACUGAAUAUUUUAAGCCCGUUGCUGAGAGCUACUGCUCAGUAUAAAAGACUCCUUUCAAAAUAUUACUGCUCAUUGACAAGAGUUCAAGAGCUCUGAUGGAGAUGUACCUGGAGAUUAAUGUUGUUUUCAGGCAGCUAACACAACAUCCAUUCUGCAGCCAACAGGUAAAGGAGUAAUUUUGACUUUCAUGUCUUCUUAUUGAAGAAAUAAAUACAUUUCAUAAGGUUAUAGUUGCCGUAAAUAAUGAUGCCCCUGAUGAAUAUAGUCAAAGUAAACUGAAAAUCCUCUGGAAAGGAUUCACCUUUCUAGAUGCACAUUCAUGAUUCAUGAGAGGAAGCCAAAAUAUCAACAUUAAAAUAAUUUGGAAGAAGCUGACUUGUAGAAGUUCAAGACUUCAGUAGAAGAAGUAACUGUCGAUGUGGUAGAGAGAGCAAGAGAACUAGAAUUAGAAGUGGAGCCUGAAGAUGUGACCGAAUUGCUGCAAUCUCAUGAGAAAACUUGAACAGAUGACGAGUUGCCCCUUAUGAAUGAGCAAAGAAAGUGAUUUCUUCAAUUGAAAUCUACUUCUGGUGAAGAUGCUGUGAACAUUGUUGAAAUGACAACAAAGGAUUUAGAAGAGUAGACAAAGAUAGAUGCUAAAGCGGUAGCAGGAUUUAAGAAAACUGACUCCAACUUUGAAAGAAGUUCUACUGUGGGUAAAAUGCUAUCAAGCAGCAUUGCAUGCUACAAAGAAAUCGUUCAUGAAAUGAAGAGUCUAUCAAUGUGGCAAAUGCCAUAGCUUUCUUAUUUUGAGAAAUUGCCACAGCACCCCCACCACCUUCAGCAGCCACCACAUUGGGUACUCAGCAGCAGUCAACAUCAAACCAGCAAAAAGAUUACAACUCACUGAAAACUCAUAUGAUCAUAGCAUUUUUUAGCAAUAAAGUAU